UACGUAGGUGGCAAGCGUUACUCGGAAUCACUAGGCGUAAAGCGCAGGUAGGCGGUUUGAUAAGUCUGUUGUGAAAGCUCCCGGCUUAACUGGGAGAGGUCAACGGAAACUGUCAAGCUAGAGUGUGGUAGAGGUAGCUGGAAUUCCCGGUGUAGCGGUGAAAUGCGCAGAUAUCAGGAGGAACACCUAUUGCGAAGGCAGCUCGCUGGGACGUAACUGACGCUGAGACGCGAAAGCGUGGGGAGCAAACAGG
rnacentral:rRNA from 1 species